GUAGCGCGGGACACGAGAAAUCUUGCGUGAAUCUGCCGGGACCACCCCGUAAGGCUAAAUACUACUCAGUGACCGAUAGCGAACCAGUACUGUGAAGGAAAGGUGAAAAGCACUUCGAAUAGAAGAGUGAAAUAGUCCCUGAAACCGUGCGCCUACAAGCGGUCGGAGCUGCGUAAGCAGUGACGGCGUGCCUUUUGCAUAAUGAACCUACGAGUUACUUUUUCCGGCAAGGUUAAGCAUCUUGAGAUGUGCAGCCGAAGCGAAAGCGAGUCUGAACAGGGCGUCGAGUCGGAAGGAGUAGACGCGAAACCAAGUGAUCUACCCUUGGUCAGGUUGAAGGUUAGGUAACACUAACUGGAGGACCGAACCGAUAAGCGUUGAAAAGCUUCCGGAUGAACUGAGGGUGGGGGUGAAAGGCUAAUCAAACUUGGAGAUAGCUCGUACUCCCCGAAAUGCAUUUAGGUGCAGCCUUGUGAGUUACUAAUGUGAGGUAGAGCGACUGAUAAGAUGCGAGGGCUUCACCGCCUAUCAAGUCUUGAUAAACUCCGAAUGCGCAUUAGUUCUAUCACAGGAGUGAGG
rnacentral:rRNA from 1 species